rnacentral:rRNA from 1 species
GACGAACGCUGGCGGCGUGCUUAACACAUGCAAGUCGAGCGGUAAGGCCCUUUCGGGGGUACACGAGCGGCGAACGGGUGAGUAACACGUGGGUGACCUGCCCUCAGCUCUGGGAUAAGCCUGGGAAACCGGGUCUAAUACUGGAUAUGACUCCAUGACGCAUGUUGUGGGGUGGAAAGCCUUGUGCGGCUGAGGAUGGGCCCGCGGCCUAUCAGCUUGUUGGUGGGGUGAGGCCUACCAAGGCGACGACGGGUAGCCGGCCUGAGAGGGCGACCGGCCACACUGGGACUGAGACACGGCCCAGACUCCUACGGGAGGCAGCAGUGGGGAAUCUUGCGCAAUGGGCAAAGCCUGACGCAGCGACGCCGCGUGAGGGAUGACGGCCU